GGGGAAAUAGCUCAGUUGGUUAGAGUGUUGGUCUGUCACACCAGAGGUCAUGGGUUCGAACCCCGUUUUCCCUG
rnacentral:tRNA from 1 species